rnacentral:rRNA from 1 species
UACAGAGGUGGCAAGCGUUGUUCGGAAUUACUGGGCGUAAAGGGUGCGUAGGCGGCCGCGCAAGUCUGGCGUGAAAGCCCCGGGCUCAGCCCGGGAAGGGCGCUCGAAACGGCGCGGCUCGAGUGCCGGAGGGGAGAGUGGAAUUCCUGGUGUAGCGGUGAAAUGCGUAGAUAUCUGGAGGAAUACCGGUGGCGAAGGCGGCAUCCUGGACCGAUAUUGACACUGAUGAGCGAAAGCCAGGGGAGCAAACGGG